UUCUUCUUGUGUUUGGAUGUGAAGUAGGAUCUGCCCACUGACUGUAUGUUAAAGGGCCGCGGUAUUUUGACCGUGCAAAGGUAGCAUAAUCAUUAGUUUUUUAAUUGAGGACUGGAAUGAAUGAUUGUACGAGAGGUAAUCUGUUUCUAUUUAUUUAUAUAUUGAAUUUAAAUUUUAAGUUAAAAUGCUUAAAUUUUUUAAUGGGACGAGAAGACCCUAUAGAGUUUUAUUGUUAAUUGGUUAUUUAGUUUGAUUGUUUGUUAAUUGGUUAUUAAUUUGGUUGGGGUGAUUGGAAGAUAUUUAAAACUCUUUUAUUUGAUUUUUAUUUAUUUAUUUAUUUGUGAUCCAUUUUUAGUGAUUGUUAGGAAAAAUUACC
rnacentral:rRNA from 1 species